rnacentral:lncRNA from 1 species
UCUCUCUCUAUAAAUAGAGAAGGGGUCCUGACGAAGACUACGGCACCGAUCUCCGCUUUAGUCGCUGACACCGGCUCCUCACCGAUUUAUACAUCGGCCAACCGACCUCAAGAUGACACUCGGACAUCGGGCAUUGAGCCAAGGGAAGCUCAAUUUUGGCAUCUUCCUUGGAGAUUCUUGAUCAAUCCUUACUCCUAACCAAUCCCUAUCAUUCAUUAUUACAAUUUAUUACUUCAGAGAGAUCGACCCUCACUACCCCAAACCCAA